GAUGAACGCUGGCGGCGUGCCUAAUACAUGCAAGUCGAGCGAACAGACGAGGAGCUUGCUCCUCUGACGUUAGCGGCGGACGGGUGAGUAACACGUGGAUAACCUACCUAUAAGACUGGGAUAACUUCGGGAAACCGGAGCUAAUACCGGAUAAUAUAUUGAACCGCAUGGUUCAAUAGUGAAAGACGGUUUUGCUGUCACUUAUAGAUGGAUCCGCGCCGCAUUAGCUAGUUGGUAAGGUAACGGCUUACCAAGGCAACGAUGCGUAGCCGACCUGAGAGGGUGGCGGGCCCACCGGGAACUGAGACAGGGCCCAAACCCCUACGGGAGGCAGGAGUAGGGAAUUUUCCGCAAGGGGGGAAAGGUUGCCGGAGCAACGCCGGGGGGGUGAAGAGGGUUUUGGGAUCGAAAACCUCUUUUAUUGGGGAAAAACAAAUUGUUAAGUAACUAUGCACGUUUUGACGGUACUAAAGCAAAAAGCCACGGCUAACUACGU
rnacentral:rRNA from 1 species